CCCUCUCUCUUUCCUUCCUCCCUCUCCGCCCUCCUUUCUUCUCCCCUUUCCUCCUCUUCCUCUUCCUUUGUACAAUAACAGCUUCCUUCUCCUUUCUCUGAGCCCAUCAGGGUUUUUAAUCUCCAACCCCCAGGGACACUGUAUCCUUCAUUUCGUAGCUGAACUUCUCCAUGUUCCGACCUCAGCUCCCUCCCUCAAGGCCUUUCCCUUCUCCUUCCCUUUUGCGCUAAAGACACGAGCUUUAGAAAUCAACCAAGAUGCAAAAGAGGUCAGAUCAGCUCUUUCCCCAUUGCCUCCUUCCCAAAUCCCCAACCCUUGGCAGUCAUUUUGAGAGAGACCACCAAGAAUCUUCCCAAAUCUGCCCUCCCCAAACCGGAUUUAUUUUCGUGGCUUUUUUUAGACAAGGAGCAUGGAAACGUAAACUUCUCAAGUUGUUGUUUGUUUGUUUUAAACAGCCUCUGCUAAAUCCGCUGCUUUGUCCAGAAAAGUGAUUUUUUUUUUUUUCAAAUCUUGAAGCGGUGUGGACUUCAACUCCCAGAGUCCUUCUCUCCCAAAGCAGGCUUUUUCAGCAUGAAUUCUGGGAGUUGAAGUCUGCGUAUCUUAGAGCAGGCCAGCUGGGGGAUUAUGGGAGUUGAAGUCCACACAUCUUAAAGUGGCUGAGGUUGAGAAUUCCAGGCAUAUUUGAUUGUGGUUCGAAGUUGGGAAAAGAGGCGGCUUUCCCUUCUUCCCGUUUUCCUUCUGCUGUCCCUGCCAUCCUCCUCCCUCAGUUCAUCCUUACUCUAUUCCUUCCUUCGUUUUGGCUAAUUCUAUCUUUCUUUCUAAGCUCUCUUUCACCCCUUCCAUCCUGUUUCGCAUCCGGCAGUCCAGUUUCUGCAAAAACAGAGCAGAAACUUUUGACAUUUUUUUUUCUUCUCUCCCUUUUCCAAGCCUGAUAGCGAAAAAUGACAAAACACCUUUUUCCAUUGUUGGAAAAAUCGAUUAGUAGGGGAGUUCCACAUAUGUUUUUUUUUUAAAGAGGUAGAAAAAAUGCAGGAGUCAUCAUCAGUAAGUCUAAAAUCUUCCCAAUGACCACAGUUUGGUCACAACUCACAUAUGGCUGAGAGUUAGAGCAAUUUUAAAAAAAAUUGCAAUCUGCUGCUUUUAGCUAAAGCGUCCAACCAACUUCUUGGUUGGCAGCUCCAAAGACCACAUUUUGGGGAGGGGAAAAAAAAAACCAGAAUGCAAAAACUUCAGUAGCAAGGCAGGCUUGGACUCAUUGCUGUCGAAAAGAGGCAAUUUUGAAUUUUGAAUUCUGGUAGCUGUCAAAAUAGACUUUUUAGUGUUCGUUUUUUCCAUGAGAGCUUUGCAAUAACGUUGGCUUUGUCGGCAUGCAUUUGAGAUCCCUUCCCUACCAUUCCCAGAGGUUUAAAAUCGAGGGGCUUUUCAAUAAAAUGGAGAGUGCUGGGAUUGAAAUUUGGGGUGGGACAGAGCUCUCCUUGUAGUCAUUUUAGUCAUUUGGAGUUUAGUAAUUCUUCGAUAUUUGUCUUUGGAACUCUGCCAAAAUUUUCAUCCAUUUUUAACCGUUUUACUCCCUAUAACUCUCCCCACUUUUUUUUUUUUUUCGCUUCCUUCUAUGCCUCAGCUUGAAAAAUAUUGCAAGCUGCAGAAUUUCUCACACAAAGCACCUCGAAAACAUUUUGAUUUGACCCAGUCAGUUCCGUGUAAAAAAAAUUAACAAAUUUGCAAUCUUGGCGUAAUUGUGCUUUGCUUUUCCUUUAAUUUUUUCCUUCCUCUGUGCAAAGAUUAACAAAUUUGCAAUCCUGUUCUUUAGUGGCGUAAUUGCUUUGCGCCCUGGGUGAGUUUUUAUUUUUCUAUUUGUUUUCUUUGUCUGGCCGAAUUUUUGGCAUUUUGUCUUUCAAGUUGUGAGGCAGCUAGACUGAUUGUUAGAUGCAAAAGAGCACCGUAAACCUGUUGGGAAUUUAAAUCAGAACUGUUUUUUUCCACUCCAGCAAAAUUAAAAACAAAACAAAACACUAGAAUUUAUUUAUACAUAUUUGAUGUUGUAGCUGAAAAGAAUUAAAUACUUCACUGAUCUAUUUAUAUAAUGUCUGGAUUUAUUCUGCACAGGUCAGGUCAAGAAAGAGUCCAUAGAUUUUUCUAUUUUAUCAAAACUCGCCUUUUAAGCGUAGCCUUUUUAAGUUUUGGCUAAAUCUUCUCGCUUUAUUUUUGUCUGCUGGAACCAAAACUCGGCGGCACACAAUAACGUGAUGCUCUUGAAAGAAAACCAAACCCAUCUCUGUUUCCUUCACUACAAAUUCAACAAUUGUUUGUGUUUCGGGUAAGGAACACGUGUGAGCCUUGAGAUGCAAGCAAAAGGUUUUCAGACCUCAUAUCUUGAGUGCAGCCAACUGAAGUGUCAGUGAGAAGAAAAGGGGGGCAAUUCUGCACAAGCAAUUUUCUCCUGCGUGAACUGUGUAAACGCCGAAGGUUGGAUAUUGGCAAAGAGUGUGGGUUUUUUUUUUCUCCCACCGAAAAGAAAUCGGAUUGCUUUCCAAGAUUGCGCCUGUCAAAUUCAUAUCUGCACACGAUAUUUGGGAGAAAAGAAAAGAAAAAUCAGAACAUCAGUCUGUUUAUAAACCAGAAACAAGCUAAUAAGCGCUUCUUUUUGAUCAUUAUUUUUCCCCCAAAGUGGUUUUAAAGCACCUUUUUCAGCUGCAGUUGUGUUUUUGUUCAGCUACAGAUGCCUGUAAAUAGAAUUUUAAUCCUGCAUUUCACCACUUCCUCUCUUGCAUUUUGAGGCUGGCCUAUUUUUUUCCCCCUUGUAAAAACUCCUAAAAUUGUUCUUUAAAGUGAAGGUGUAAAAGAG